GUGCCUUUAUUUGAGUUUGCUGUAGAUAAGCAAAUGGAGUUUCUAAUGAAAACCAGUCCAUAAGGCUGCUAUACUUGUACGAGCUGAAAAACUGAGCUUCUAGCAUUUUAUUUUUCUUCACAGCCAAGCAGACACUUUUUUUUCAUCUUUCAAAAGCAAAUGCUGCUAUGGAUUGUGAAUACUAGACUACACCAAAUUGUAUCCUAGCUUAGAUGAACGUUAUCAUGAGUAUCAGUACCUGGAGUAUUAGUGGCUACCUUAAAUUCCAUUUUGCUCCCUCAGAAGGCCGUGAUUAUGUCAUCCUGAAGUCUUCUCUUUUCUAGGCUGAACAAUCUCAAAGCAAACUCUGGUGUUGCACUUGUAAGAGUUUCACAUUCACUAGUUCAUCCAGAAACAACCUCCUUGCACGUGGGGUUCAAUACAGGUCCCUCUCACUAAAAUGCCUGAAAUGACUGUGUGAAGACUUGUCAGAGUCCUUUUCUGAGUGCAGAUAACAAGGUUGGUGUCCGAAUACGUCUGUCUUCAAAAGCAAGGAGUUGAAGAACAAGAAAAUUCUAAACAUGAUAAGACAUGUUUAGAACAUGAAGACACUUAAGCAACAUUAAAUUAAUUGGUUUGCUUUGCUUGUGUACGUGGCUUUUGGUCUUUCCAUUAAACUGUCCUUAUCUCAACUCACGCGUUUUUUUGGCUUUUACCCUUUGAUUUUCUCCCUGAUGCCACUGGUGGGGUGAGUGAGUGAGCAGCUGUGUGGGGCUAUGUUGUUUAACCACAACAGCAUCUAACUAUAACCAGGGUACAAAAUCUUUAAAAGCUAUCUUUUUUUUAGCUUUUAAAAAUACUCAGUAGUGCUUACAUUUGCAUGGAUACAUAUGUGUAACCCACUUGAGUUCUAGUCUCAGACACGUCUUUGAACAUAAUCAGUCUCUGAGUCCAAUUGUAGAGAUUCCUGCGUUUUAUUUUAAAGAUUCUUUGCUAAACUUUAAGAAUUUAGUAUGAAGAUUUUGCUUCAAAUUCAACCUAUUUCAAACCUCCAAGACAGUACUAGGGUGGGGUGAUUCUUUUCAAAGGAUGUGCAUUAAUGUUUAGCUGGAAUUAUAUUGUUUUUUAUGCCUCGCUAGAAGCGUAAGCCAAGCUCUUUGCUAUAGAAGCUAAUUCAUUAGCUCAAAUCGUAAAGGAUUGUGUUAUAGGAGGUUCUGAGCCAAAUGUUGCGUAAUUGCUAAUUUGGUGUCUACGUUUUUUCCUCCUAACAAUAUGAUUAAACCCAUUUUGU